rnacentral:rRNA from 1 species
AUUGAACGCUGGCGGCAGGCCUAACACAUGCAAGUCGAACGGUAGCACAGAGAGCUUGCUCUCGGGUGACGAGUGGCGGACGGGUGAGUAAUGUCUGGGAAACUGCCCGAUGGAGGGGGAUAACUACUGGAAACGGUAGCUAAUACCGCAUAACGUCGCAAGACCAAAGUGGGGGACCUUCGGGCCUCACACCAUCGGAUGUGCCCAGAUGGGAUUAGCUAGUAGGUGGGGUAAUGGCUCACCUAGGCGACGAUCCCUAGCCGGUCUGAGAGGAUGACAGGCCACACUGGAACUGAGACACGGUCCAGACUCCUACGGGAGGCAGCAGUGGGGAAUAUUGCACAAUGGGCGCAAGCCUGAUGCAGCCAUGCCGCGUGUAUGAAGAAGGCCUUCGGGUUGUAAAGUACUUUCAGCGGGGAGGAAGGCGGUGAAGUUAAUAACUUCACCGAUUGACGUUACCCGCAGAAGAAGCACCGGCUAACUCCGUGCCAGCCGCCGCCGUAA